CCGCCUCGAUGGGUAAGAGAUAUACGGGGACCGGGGAGGGCCGGGGGACCCGGUGCCACCCUGCGACUGGACGCUGUGCCACCAUCUGUGACACGGGGAUCCCGCUGGGUGGGAGGGACUUCGUGCCACCGGCCGUGGCUGUGAGUCGUGUCACACACGGCCCCUUUCACCGGGGGUUGCUUGCAACAAAGUGUCCCCCUGGGCACUGUGCCCACUGCCCCCGAACCCGCCUCCCAUUCGCCGCUUUCGGGGUGACCCCGGGAGCAGCAGGGACGGACGGAGCCGGUGGCUGACCGAGCCGGGAUGCGCAGCCCCGGGGAACCUGGGGGCUUCCUAUGGACGAGCCCUGUGCCUCAGUUUCUCCACUUGUCCCUGAACUGCCGUGAUCCCAUUUUGGGAUGUGUAACAACGCCACGUGAGAUUCCCGCAAAGCCCAUUUCCGUGGCUGCUCAGGCACCUCCGGCCGCCCCCGGACCUCGGCCCGCGGCUAUUUCUGGGAAGACAGGUGGCUCCGGACAGAAAUAGAGUGGGAAGUGCCACUGGAACACGCGGAAGGAGGGGAAGCGAGGGAGAUCUGGAGGAAUCUGGAGGGGUCGGAGAGAUGUGGGAUGGAGUGGCGUCUGCAAGGGUGUAGGGUUGGAUGGAGCCGAGUAUGGGGGUACAUAGGGGCAGGGUUUGCAAGGAAGUGGAGUGGGAUGGGGCAGGAUAUGGGGGUACACAGGGGCAGAAUGGAGCAGGGUUUUAAGGGAUGUGGGGCAGGAUGGAGCAGAGCAGUGGUUUGGGGGUACAUAAGGACACCGUUUGUGGGGCCAUGGGGCAGGACACAGGAAGGUAUAGGGGAUGUGGGGCUGGAUAUGAGGGGGACAGGAAGCAGUGGGGUAUUUGGGAGUGUAUAGGGGCCUAUUUUGGGGAUCCAUGGGGCAGGAUGGACUGGGGUACAAGGGGAAUAGGACACAGUGGGGUACAGGCUGUGCUCACGUGGGAGAGGAAGGGCAUGGGGGUGCUGCUGAUGCCCCUGAGGGUGGUGACGGCCAGGUGCUCCAAGGCCCCGGUGGUGGGUGGCUGUCCACAGUGGCCGGGGGCGAAGACUGCCUGUGGUACGUGGACAGAAACGGGUCAUGGCACCCUGGCUUCGACUGCGAGUUCUUCACCUUCUGCUGUGGCACGUGCCAGCAGCGGUACUGCUGCCGAGACCCUCUGCGCCUGCUCACCGAGCGCCAGCAGCGCCACUGCCUUGCCUUCAGCCCCAAGACCAUCGCGGGCAUUGCCUCAGCCGUGGUGCUUUUCAUCGCCAUCGUCACCACCAUCGUCUGCUGCUUCAUGUGCUCCUGCUGCUACCUGUACCAGCGCCGGCAGCACUCCCGCACACCCCUGCAAGGCCCGGAAAUUCCCCUGUCCAGCUACCACCCUGCAGCUCCCCCAGCUCCCUUCCCCGUGGACCCCAAAGCCGGCCCCACACCUCCCCAGCCUGGCUUCACCCCCAUGGCCAUGUACCCCCCGCCCGGCCCUGCUGCCCAGUACCCCAUGUACCCCUCCGGGCCCCCCGUCUACAACCCCACAGCACCGCCACCCUACG
ensembl:lncRNA